AUUGAACGCUGGCGGCAGGCUUAACACAUGCAAGUCGAGCGGGGUGAUGGUGCUUGCACUAUCACUUAGCGGCGGACGGGUGAGUAAUGCUUAGGAAUCUGCCUAUUAGUGGGGGACAACAUCUCGAAAGGGAUGCUAAUACCGCAUACGUCCUACGGGAGAAAGCAGGGGAUCACUUGUGACCUUGCGCUAAUAGAUGAGCCUAAGUCGGAUUAGCUAGUUGGUGGGGUAAAGGCCUACCAAGGCGACGAUCUGGAGCGGGUCUGAGAGGGUGAUCCGCCACACGGGGACUGAGACACGGCCCAGACUCCUACGGGAGGCAGCCGUGGGGAAUAUUGGACAAUGGGGGGAACCCUGGUCUAGCCAUGCCGCGUGUGUGAAGAAGGCCUUAUGGUUGUAAAGCACUUUAAGCGAGGAGGAGGCUCUUUUGGUUAAUACCCAAGAUGAGUGGACGUUACUCGCAGAAUAAGCACCGGCUAACUCUGUGCCAGCCGCCGCCGUAA
rnacentral:rRNA from 1 species